UUUGUGUGUUUCCUUUGACCCAUAGUGCUCGUUAAAUUUUUUAACGACAUCAAUGUUCCACUGACAGCUCCUGCCGCAAGGUACUGCAAGCUGAUAGUAAUCAAUACAUCUGUCAACAAGUAGUCCCACAUCACUGAGAUUCAUUGUUAUUCUCUAAUUUGAAUUUGAAUCACUGCUUGAGCGGGUUUAAAAUUUUCUUUUAAUUUG
rnacentral:misc_RNA from 1 species